CAAGAACUUUAACUAUCACACAUUUUGACCAAAAUAUGAAAGCGAAAGGAAAACGCAGCACCGUUAACUAUGCAAAAUUAAAAUGAAGAAAACGAAUUGCAUAACUUAAGGCUGAUUUAUACUUCUGCGUUGGACCUACAGCGGAGCCUCUACUACGCGUUGGUUUUAAUUUUAUACUUCUGCGUUGUUGUCCGCGUUGAUGCGAAAUUACACAUGCAGGGGGAGCAUGAAGUGGUUCUAGCAGACCAAUGACAGCGCUUGCGGUACGCGUAGAAUUGGCGCGUUGUUACAUUUUUGCAGAGAUGCACGUCAAGGUACGCGCGACACACAGCCUACGACGUAGCUACGGCGUGAGUUCAACGCAGAAGUAGAAAUUGGGCUUAAAUUAUCUCACGAGAUUCAAAUAUCUACAUGUAGGCUAUGGAAUGGUAAACAGCACACACUUUCCCUGCUUCACCUCAGCAGUCACAACUUGUAUUGUUGUCCCUUCCAGCUCUCAACAUUUGUGCAGACAUGCCCCUGGAUCCUGUUGGGAUGAUUCAGCGGCACCUUAAAGCUUUUCUGUCUCUACCUACGGAUGUAUAUCAUAUCUAGAGAGUACGCCAGCUUCCGUUUGAAUCCAACCUCUUACGAAGAUUUCAGAUGAACUAACUCCUGUGAAAAGAUUACACCAACCCCUGUGUGGACUUCAUAUACAUCAAAAUCUAAAUCGACACACAACUUCCAAAUUGUCCAAAUGUUGUAAUCAUAUCUUUAAUGAGAUCAAUACAUGAAUACAUGAAUAAAUAAUACAUGACUACAUGGCAUUGGCUAACUGCGUGAUUUGUAUUAUCUUAGAACUGGACAUUUUUGACAAAUGGAUAUUACUUUGUCUCUGUCACCUCUGAUAACAAAUUACUCUAAAUUGUAAUGUAGAAACAUGCAUUUUUCUGUUAAGCUGCUUUGAAACGAUAUGUAUUGUGAAUUGAAAUUUAAUUGAAUGUACAUUUAAAGCCAAAUUAGCAAUCAAAAAACAUCAGAAACAUUAACACACACAUACACAUCCCCCCCUCUCCUUCCCACCCACCACUAAAUCACACACUAAAAUGCUUGCAAAUGCACGUGUGCUUUAUUGUCAAUACCGUUUGAGGGAGAUAUGUCAUGCACAGAAGCUCUGAAAAGCAGAUUUCAUGGUAGAGCGUGCACAGAGCAGACCCUUGUUUAAACAUCUCAUUAGGGAACAUGUUAACUUGAGAGACAACUAAGCAUGCAGGUCUUGGGCACAGGUAGAUUUAAUGAUAACAUCCAUAGGGGAAAUUUCCAACUUUCAGAAAACCGAUGCUUUUCUAAUUCUAACUGACAUUUUAAUAAACUGUCUACAAGGAAGAGCACUAUGUAAAUGUUAGUAUUUUAACCAUUGUAAACAUGCUACAGGAUUCUGCACACUAAAUUGGAUUAAAUUGCAGCUACG